rnacentral:rRNA from 1 species
CAGUAGCCGCGGUAAUCCGUAGGGUGCGAGCGUUAAUCGGAAUUACUGGGCGUAAAGCGUGCGCAGGCGGUUAUAUAAGACAGAUGUGAAAUCCCCGGGCUCAACCUGGGACCUGCAUUUGUGACUGUAUAGCUAGAGUACGGUAGAGGGGGAUGGAAUUCCGCGUGUAGCAGUGAAAUGCGUAGAUAUGCGGAGGAACACCGAUGGCGAAGGCAAUCCCCUGGACCUGUACCGACGCUCAUGCACGAAAGCGUGGGGAGCAAACAGGAUUAGAUACCCCCGUAGUCCCUGUCUCUUAUAC